rnacentral:lncRNA from 1 species
CAUCACAAUCAUAAACACGCGCUCCAAGUUAUUCUGCGGCGGGGGGGACGGAUUGUCGGAUCCAACCACCAGCACGUACGCGUAGUACACAGCCACGCUGUAAUGCUGAAGCAAAGACUCCGACGCCAGCAGCUCCGAAAACAGCCAGGGCCAGCCUGUACGACAGAACGAAUCCCAGCCAAGCAUCCGGUCCAGUUCGGUUUGUGUGGUGGCGGUUUGUAACGGUUAGGACAGUUGUACUUGUACGGACCAAUAUGACUGUUGCGUAGUGGGUUCGGAAGCCGUUGGUGCUGGCAAUGGAGGCUGCAGCAGCAGCAGCUGGUGACCC